GACGAACGCUGGCGGCGUGCCUAAUACAUGCAAGUCGAGCGGACGAAUCGAAAGCUUGCUUUUGAUUCGUUAGCGGCGGACGGGUGAGUAACACGUGGGCAACCUGCCCUGUAGACGGGGAUAACACCGAGAAAUCGGUGCUAAUACCGGAUAACACGAAAUGUCGCAUGACGUUUCGUUGAAAGACGGCGCAAGCUGUCGCUACAGGAUGGGCCCGCGGCGCAUUAGCUAGUUGGCGAGGUAACGGCUCACCAAGGCGACGAUGCGUAGCCGACCUGAGAGGGUGAUAGGCCACACUGGGACUGAGACACGGCCCAGACUCCUACGGGAGGCAGCAGUAGGGAAUCUUCCGCAAUGGACGAAAGUCUGACGGAGCAACGCCGCGUGAGAGAAGAAGGCCUUCGGGUCGUAAAGCUCUGUUGUUAGGGAAGAACAAGUAACGCAGUAACUGGCGUUACCGUGACGGUACCUAACGAGAAAGCCACGGCUAACUACGUG
rnacentral:rRNA from 1 species